GACGGAGGGUGCAAGCGUUAUCCGGAAUGAUUGGGCGUAAAGCGUUCGCAGGUGGCUGUUCAAGUCUGCUGUCAAAGACCGGGGCUUAACCCUAGAACGGCAGUGGAAACUGAACGGCUCGAGUGCAGUAGGUGUAGAUGGAAUUCCCAGUGUAGCGGUGAAAUGCGUAGAGAUUGGGAAGAACACCGGUGGCGAAAGCGGUCUGCUGGACCACAACUGACACUGAGGGACGAAAGCUAGGGGAGCGAAAGGG
rnacentral:rRNA from 1 species